AACGAACGCUGGCGGCAGGCCUAACUCAUGCAAGUCGAGCGAGGACUUCGGUUCUAGCGGCGGACGGGUGAGUAACGCGUGGGAAUAUGCCCUUCUCUACGGAAUAGUCCUGGGAAACUGGGGGUAAUACCGUAUACGCCCUUUGGGGGAAAGAUUUAUCGGGGAAGGAUUAGCCCGCGUUGGAUUAGGUAGUUGGUGGGGUAAUGGCCUACCAAGCCGACGAUCCAUAGCUGGUUUGAGAGGAUGAUCAGCCACACUGGGACUGAGACACGGCCCAGACUCCUACGGGAGGCAGCAGUGGGGAAUCUUAGACAAUGGGGGCAACCCUGAUCUAGCCAUGCCGCGUGAGUGAUGAAGGCCUUAGGGUUGUAAAGCUCUUUCAGCUGGGAAGAUAAUGACGGUACCAGCAGAAGAAGCCCCGGCUAACUCCGUG
rnacentral:rRNA from 1 species